CAACUGGGCCUCAGGUGUUAGGCCGGAAGGGGUACGCACUGGGCUAGAAGGUGCGGGAGAGGCAGGCCAGGCCAGAGAGAGAGUUGGGCCAGGAGAGAGGGAGAAUAGGUCGAGCUAAAAGGGAAGGGUGGGCCAGAAUAGGGGUUUUCCAUUUAUAAGGGAAGGGUUUUGGAUAUAAAUUUGAAUUGUAUUUCAAGUUGAAUAGGGUAUAGAGUAUGGGUUUGGAAUGGACAUAGAAAUGAGAUCUUUUAAAAAGGUUUGAGGUCUAAUGAAUACAGCUAGGAUUGGGAAGGGACCUUGUGGAUGUAUUUAGAUUAAAUCUGAAUGUUAGUUCUAGGAUUUUGGGAAUUGAGUUCCUAUGAUUUGGAGGGUUGGAUUUAGAGUAGAAUUUCUAAGACAAUCAAAUGCAUCACAUAUGUAGGUUCAAUGCAUGGUUGAUUUGUAAAUUAGGUUUGAAUAUUUUGGGAAGAGGAGUUUAGUUCAUAUUUAAAGAAAAAUUUUAAAAAGUUCAAAUUUUUAAAUGCUCUAAAAAGCAAGAUGUUACACGAUACCUACCCAAAGUAACCAAGGUAACCAUCGGAUCAUCCAGUGACCUCACUAACUUUUACUACAUUUGGAGCAACAGCUCCUUAGCUUUGAAGUGUUGGGCUAUUUUUACCUCCUCUUCUCACGUAGUUGGAGUUGUAGAAGUGUGUUAAAGAUCAUUGCAGUGUAAGACACAUCAAGAACACAUCCAUGCCACAAAAGCGCUAAAGUGAUCAUCCA
rnacentral:lncRNA from 1 species